rnacentral:rRNA from 1 species
AUUGAACGCUGGUGGCAUGCUUUACACAUGCAAGUCGAACGGCAGCGCGGGCUUCGGCCUGGCGGCGAGUGGCGAACGGGUGAGUAAUACAUCGGAACGUGCCCAGUAGUGGGGGAUAGCUCGGCGAAAGCCGGAUUCAUACCGCAUACGACCUGAGGGUGAAAGCGGGGGAUCUUCGGACCUCGCGCUAUUGGAGCGGCUGAUGGCAGAUUAGCUAGUUGGUGGGGUAAAGGCCUACCAAGGCGACGAUCUGUAGCUGGUCUGAGAGGACGACCAGCCACACUGGGACUGAGACACGGCCCAGACUCCUACGGGAGGCAGCAGUGGGGAAUUUUGGACAAUGGGCGAAAGCCUGAUCCAGCAAUGCCGCGUGUGUGAUGAAGGCCUUCGGGUUGUAAAGCACUUUUGGCGGGAACGAAAAGGACUGUGCCAAUACCACGGUUCGAUGACGGUACCCGCAGAAUAAGCACCGGCUAACUACGU